rnacentral:rRNA from 1 species
AACGGCCGUACCAUGCUGAAUAUACCGGUUCUCGUUAGAUCACCGAAGUCAAGCAUCAUUGGGCGCGGUUAGUACUUGGGUGGGUGACCACCUGAGAACACCACGCG